rnacentral:rRNA from 1 species
CGCCGGAAGACCAAGGGUUCCUGUCCAACGUUAAUCGGGGCAGGGUGAGUCGACCCCUAAGGCGAGGCUGAAAAGCGUAGUCGAUGGGAAACGGGUUAAUAUUCCCGUACUGGUGGUAACUGCGAUGGGGGAACGGAGAAGGCUAGGUUGUCCGGGCGACGGUCGUCCCGGUUCAAGCAUGUAGGCAGAGUGAUUAGGCAAAUCCGGUCACUUAAUGCUGAGGUGUGAUGACGAGCCACUAAGGUGGUGAAGCAAUUGAUGCCCUGCUUCCAGGAAAAGCCUCUAAGCUUCAGGUUACCAACAAUCGUACCCCAAACCGACACAGGUGGUCAGGUAGAGAAUACUCAGGCGCUUGAGAGAACUCGGGUGAAG